UACGUAGGGGGCAAGCGUUGUCCGGAUUUAUUGGGCGUAAAGAGCGUGUAGGCGGCCAGGUAGGUCUGCUGUGAAAACUCGAGGCUUAACCUCGAGCUGUCGGCGGAAACCAUCCGGCUAGAGUCCGGAAGAGGAGAAUGGAAUUCCCGGUGUAGCGGUGAAAUGCGCAGAUAUCGGGAAGAACACCCGUGGCGAAGGCGGUUCUCUGGGACGGUACUGAUGCUGAGACGCGAAAGCGUGGGGAGCGAACAGG
rnacentral:rRNA from 1 species